rnacentral:misc_RNA from 1 species
AACGGUCUAUACCUGCGGUACCUGCGGAGGGAUCAUUAUAGAAAACAUAUUGAACUCAGAGAGAGAGGGGGGGGAGUGUGUGAGCUUCCCUCUCUUCUUUUCUGGGCAAACAACCAACACACAUGACUAGGAAAAUGACAGACAGAGAGAGACUGGACUGGAUUGGAUUGGGCGCGAGGAUAUGGUCCUCGCAAGACUCUCGCAAGAGAGAAAAGUUCUUGUCUGAUAAAGUAGCUUGCU